rnacentral:rRNA from 1 species
GACGAACGCUGGCGGCGUGCUUAACACAUGCAAGUCGAACGGAAAGGCCCUGCUUGCAGGGUCCUCGAGUGGCGAACGGGUGAGUAACACGUUUGUGAUCUGCCCUGCACUUCGGGAUAAGCCUGGGUAACUGGGUCUAAUACCGGAUAGGAGCCAUAUUUAGUGUGAUGGUUGGAAAGUUUUUUCGGUGUAGGAUGAGCUUGCGGCCUAUCAGCUUGUUGGAGGGGUAAUGGCCUACCAAGGCGGCGACGGGUAGCCGGCCUGGGAGGGUGGACGGGCACAGUGGGACUGAGAUACGGCCCAGACCCCGACGGGAGGGAGCAGUGGGGAAGAGUGAAAAAGGGGCGCAAGCCAGAUGCAGCGACGCCGCGGGGGGGAGGACGGCCUACGGGUUGGAAAUUCAUUGCGCUAGGGACGAAGCUUUUUGUGACGGUACCUAGAGAAGAAGCACCGGCUAACUACGUG